rnacentral:rRNA from 1 species
UACGUAGGGGGCAAGCGUUGUCCGGAUUUAUUGGGCGUAAAGAGCGUGUAGGCGGUCAGGUGGGUCCGUUGUGAAAACUCGAGGCUCAACCUCGAGACGCCGAUGGAAACCAUCUGACUAGAGUCCGGAAGAGGAGAGUGGAAUUCCUGGUGUAGCGGUGAAAUGCGCAGAUAUCAGGAAGAACACCCGUGGCUAAGGCGGCUCUCUAGUACGGUACUGACGCUGAGACGCGAAAGCGUGGGGAGCGAACAGG